rnacentral:rRNA from 1 species
GAUGAACGCUGGCGGCGUGCCUAAUACAUGCAAGUCGAGCGAACAGACGAGGAGCUUGCUCCUCUGACGUUAGCGGCGGACGGGUGAGUAACACGUGGAUAACCUACCUAUAAGACUGGGAUAACUUCGGGAAACCGGAGCUAAUACCGGAUAAUAUAUUGAACCGCAGGGUUCAAUAGUGAAAGACGGUUUUGCUGUCACUUAUAGAUGGAUCCGCGCCGCAUUAGCUAGUUGGUAAGGUAACGGCUUACCAAGGCAACGAUGCGUAGUCGACCUGAGAGGGUGAUCGGCCACACUGGAACUGAGACACGGUCCAGACUCCUACGGGAGGCAGCAGUAGGGAAUCUUCCGCAAUGGGCGAAAGCCUGACGGAGCCACGCCGCGUGAGUGAUGAAGGUCUUCGGAUCGUAAAACUCUGUUAUUAGGGAAGAACAAAUGUGUAAGUAACUAUGCACGUCUUGACGGUACCUAAUCAGAAAGCCACGGCUAACUACGUG